AUUAUUAGUUCAACUAAAAUCUAAGGAAGAUAACAUUGUGAUGGAGGCACGAAACUCUCUUCAAUAAGACGAGCAAUUGGCCUCACCUUCUUCCCUUUGAAACGUGUCUGCAAUUCCUUCAUGGCCGAUAUUCUAAGUUCUACUAUUCUUUUCUUGUAAUUAUUUCUUCCAACUCCAUUUAUCAUUCCUUGCAUUAUUCCAACGUAAAUCCCAUAGUUCCUCAAG
rnacentral:lncRNA from 1 species